rnacentral:rRNA from 1 species
UACGAAGGGGGCUAGCGUUGCUCGGAAUCACUGGGCGUAAAGCGCACGUAGGCGGCUUUCUAAGUCAGGGGUGAAAUCCUGGAGCUCAACUCCAGAACUGCCUUUGAUACUGGGAGACUUGAGUCCGGGAGAGGUGAGUGGAACUGCGAGUGUAGAGGUGAAAUUCGUAGAUAUUCGCAAGAACACCAGUGGCGAAGGCGGCUCACUGGCCCGGUACUGACGCUGAGGUGCGAAAGCGUGGGGAGCAAACAGG